ensembl:lncRNA
GUAAUGGCCGGCCUUUAUCUGAUUUUCCCCAGUUUCCUGUACACUUGUGGUUUCUGCUGGGGCUCUGUAGAGGGGGGACCCUGCGGCUGCAUCAGAUGGGAGAGAGCACUCAACUUUUCUAGAAAGCUUUUCUGGCUUUCCCGGGGGACAUCCAAUCGAUGUCCAUUCAAACCCUCCUAUCUAAGGUUAUUGAUGCUAAGGAGGGAGACUAACUCCCCCAGAUCCUGUCCUUGGAGAAAAGAAGAAUGUUGGCACAGCAGUCCCAGAAGAAGAUGAGCUACAACAGCUAAAGCCUGAUGGAGGCCUUUUCCUGUAGAUCAGCUUCCCAAAAGCAGUCAGAAUGAGUGACAUCAUGAGAAAAUUAUGUGGAGCAGAUCUCAACCAGAAGUUGAGGAAUCCCAGAGGAAGAAUGCAGUGGUAACUCCUGAGCCCAGGGAGUUGGCAAGAGUGUGGGCUUCCAAGGAGCCAGAACCUCCGAACCGGGCCUUCUUGAAGCAAGGCUAUACCGUCCUACUGUUCCUCUGGCUGAAAGAUCUGAGUGCCGUGUGACAAAUACUUUGUUGAACCAAGACUCUGAGGCUGAUAUGCAAUGUCACUUACAACAUUAAUCAGAUACUGCAUUUAAGGCUUUCAAGCUGUUCAGCGUACAAUUUUUGGUGUGUGUGACAACCGCAUCUCUAAAACUUGUGAGCAAGAAGACGGAGAAAUCAGUCGGUCUCCAUCGCCUUGCAUAAAGAUGGCCGAGGGUCUUGUCAUGCUAGCAGGUCUCUGAGUGGUGCGUACAGACCAGCAUCAUUAACGAUUGCAGAAGCAUGGGACCCAUUGUCACUCGCUCUUGGACAAAUAGUGAGCUCACCGUUUAGAGUUAAAACACUUGCUGUGCAGAAAGAUCCGAACAGAAUGCCUUCCAUCUUGAUAGGCCAGCACAGAUCAAUCAUUUCCAGUGAAGUUGCAUCUUAACUGCAAGACCCGAUGGAUGAACUGCAGUUGUUCUAGCAUGAAUGGAUGCCUGAUAGAUCUCAUGCUCGUAUCGUAGACUCUCCAUCCUUUUGUUUUCAACCUAAGCAUGGCUACCGUCAUCUUGUAGCUUUUCAUAGCUAAUGGUUUUUUUUUUUAAUGACAUUAUUCAUUUGUGUUGCUCUUAGUCAUGCCUAACAGAAUUUCAAAUAUAAUCCACAGAGCCAGAAAACCAAACAAAACUAUUGGGAAAUACACAGAACCAUUAUCACCCUAAUAAACAGGCGACUGAAUGGGAGAAUUAUUAUUUAUUGCGUUG